GACGAACGCUGGCGGCGUGCCUAAUACAUGCAAGUAGAACGCUGAAGCGAGGAGCUUGCUCUUCUUGGAUGAGUUGCGAACGGGUGAGUAACGCGUAGGUAACCUGCCUUGUAGCGGGGGAUAACUAUUGGAAACGAUAGCUAAUACCGCAUAACAAUGGCUGACACAUGUCAUUUAUUUGAAAGGGGCAAUUGCUCCACUACAAGAUGGACCUGCGUUGUAUUAGCUAGUAGGUGAGGUAAUGGCUCACCUAGGCGACGAUACAUAGCCGACCUGAGAGGGUGAUCGGCCACACUGGGACUGAGACACGGCCCAGACUCCUACGGGAGGCAGCAGUAGGGAAUCGUCGGCAAUGGGGGCAACCCUGACCGAGCAACGCCGCGUGAGUGAAGAAGGUUUUCGGAUCGUAAAGCUCUGUUGUAAGUCAAGAACGGGUGUGAGAGUGGAAAGUUCACACUGUGACGGUAGCUUACCAGAAAGGGACGGCUAACUACGUG
rnacentral:rRNA from 1 species